AAAACCUGAUAAAUUUCAAUUUGAAAUUUGAGUUUGAAUCUCAACUGUUGGAGAUUCAAAAACUCCAGGAUCCAAAGCCUUGCAACCUCAUCAAUCACUUCCUGCUAUAAUUUCAAUUUGAAAUUUGAGUUUGAAUCUCAACUGUUGGAGAUUCAAAAACUCCAGGAUCCAAAGCCUUGCAACCUCAUCAAUCACUUCCUGCUAGCUUCUCAAGUGUGAUCAGAUCGUGUUUGGAGUAAGCAACAUCAAGAACUGCAUAAAACAUUGAAGGUAAUUUUCAGAAAAC
rnacentral:lncRNA from 1 species